UGCGGCUGCAGUCCUUGGCAUGAGGACACUGGCCCAACCUCACGGACGUGCUGCUGCCUGCUGGGGAGGACACACAGCUGCAGUUGUGGAAGACCUGUCCUACUGUGUUCUUGCCGUAUCCACUGGAGCUGAGGCAGCCAGCCAUACACGGAGAGACAUAGGUGAUGCCACGGUCUGAGCACACAGGAUCCCACUCUUCUGCUGAACACGAGCAGUCUCUGUUACACUCUGAGAAGAGCGCGUCUCCAUCGGAGGAAAGACGCCGCGUUCUGCAAGGAAGGGCAGUGAGCGUGGCAGGAACAAGAAGGGAAUGCUGGAGAUGAGGAGGAGGACGGAGCACACCAUGAAGCCCAUCCACCAGGCGCCCACCCACCGGGCGUCUUUCGGAGUGAUAGUCACACUUUCUAUGUGCAGAAAAAGAGCCUUUGUGUAAGUGCACGGAGAGAGCAGGAAGCUUGAUGAGUGUUUGACUUUAUUUGGAAUUUCACUUAACUAACUUGUUCAGGUAGGUCUAUUGUUAGCUUGACACACCUUUUCACCUUCAGAAGCUGGCUGAUCAAAACCAGUUUGAACCAAAGCUCAAGCCAGAGUCACUAUGUCUGUUCCUCAAAAAUGCCACCAGAAAAGUUUCAGGCGUUUCAGUCUAGUGCCAACUUUUUGGUACAAGACAAACCAUAACUGCUGAAAAUACAUAUGCAAAAAAAAAGUACACUUACCAAUAUCAACAUAUCCAAAGUCAACGUAUAGUUUGGCAGUGUAGGAGCCGAGGAGGAAACCAAACAUGGGGCCCAGGAGAGUGAUAGUGUGGAGACAGGCUGUAAAUGGCAAACAUUUUCUACAAUUGGUUUAGAAAAUAGUAACUUUGGGAUAUCCCCAAUGGGAAUAGAUAUAGUAACAGUUAAGAAGACCUUGAUGCACUUGAAUAGACUUUGUUCUAUGUGUAAGUUUUAGGAAAUGUGUCAGUUGUAGGCGCUAACCUCUUCCAUCGAUACAUGGUCAUUUGUGAAAAUAGACAAUAAAGCAGAGUUUGCUUAAUGAACAUCAUUUGAUUGACAGGUAGCCUCAGCCAUUUUGUCCGGUCGUUUUUGUCUAAUAUUAACCCUUUAAAAUGUGUUUUCAGCUUAUAAAAGCCAAGUUUAACAUUGACAUAAUACCAACGUCUCAUUUAGCAUUUCAACCCUCCGGUGUCACUUUUGGUGAUAGAAUGUUUUAAGGACAAAAGGCAAAAAACAAUACGGAUGGAGUCUGCAAACCAAUGGGUGAAGUCACAGUGACUACAUCGGCUUCUUUUAGAGAGUCUAUUGUCAAUUUUUUAACAUUGUUUAUUACUUUCGAACCUUUUAAAACGAGUAGAAAUAUCUUACCUAUAUAGAAGGGGGAAU